rnacentral:misc_RNA from 1 species
CACUCUCGUCUCUUCAGAAAAGUUGAAAAAGAGAAAUGUACAGCUCAAAAAGAAGACAACAAAGCUACUAUAGAAGUAGAAGACGAUAGCCAUCUCUUAGAUUCAGCGAGAAGCUCAUUCUCUCUUGCUCUUAAAGAGUGUCAGGAAAGGAANNNNNNNNNNNAUCUGAAGCCAUUGUUCAGAUCCAGCGAAGCAGGUCUCCUCCUGUCUGGCUUCUUCGAAAU